UUCUCAAAUCAGGUGAGACUACCCGCUGAACUUAAGCAUAUCACUAAGCGGAGGAAAAGAAACUAACCAGGAUUCCCCUAGUAACGGCGAGUGAACCGGGAAGAGCUCAAGCUGAAAAUCCUCGGAAUUGUAGUCUAUAGGUGCGGACUCGCGCAGGGCCGGGUAUAAAUCCGUUCUUGGAAUUGGGUGCCAGAGAGGGUUAGAGCCCCGUCUUUGACUCGGUCCCCUGUGCGUGACGAGUGCUCACCGGAGAGUCGGCUUGCUUGGGAAUGCAGGUCAAAAUGGGGGGUAAACUUCAUCUAAAGCUAAAUAUGGGC
rnacentral:rRNA from 1 species